UACCAGCUCUCCGAGUGGUAGGGAUGAUUAUUGGGCUUAAAGCGUCCGUAGCCGGCUUGGCGAGUCUCCUGUUAAAUUCAGCGACCUAAUCGUUGACCCGCGGGAGAUACUACUAGGCUAGGAGGCGGGAGAGGCCGACGGUACUUCCGGGGUAGGGGUGAAAUCCUAUAAUCCCGGGAGGACCACCAGUGGCGAAGGCUGUCGGCUAGAACGCGCUCGACGGUGAGGGACGAAAGCUGGGGUAGCGAACCGGACUAGAUACCCGGGUAGUCCCAGCUGUAAACUAUGCGGGCUAGGUGUUGGGGUGGCUACGAGCCACUUCAGUGCCGCAGGUAAGCCAUUAAGCCCGCCGCCUGGGGAGUACGGCCGCAAGGCUGAAACUUAAAGGAAUUAGGCGGGGGAGCACCACAAGGCGUGAAGCUUGCGGUUC
rnacentral:rRNA from 1 species